rnacentral:lncRNA from 1 species
UUAGAAGGAAUCUUAAAAUCUGCUUACCCUUCCGUAGCACCUUAGAUCACCCCAGUUUUGGUGGGUUUUGUGUUGAUCAGUCUUUAGAUUUCUAUAUUGUGUUUUGUGAACUGUUGUUUCUGUUUGUCUUUAUCUUUUUUAGCCAUGGGGUUGUCAGUUAAGUUUCGACUUGUGAGUUUGAAUGUCCCUUUGGUAUCUUCAGCUGUGGUAUGAUUGCCAAUGAGUCAAAGUUCUAUCCACCGAAAUUGAAAUGAAGUGGAUGUUAACAAUUAUAUAGGUAAUCACACGGCCUUCAACAAUGAGAAAAACCCAUACCGAAUAGGCGGCUUUAAAAGGCUCCGAUAUAAAAUAAAAAUAUGGAACAAGUCAAUUUUGAAAACUUACGGUUCUAAUUUAAAAAAAUAAUACGAGAAAAAAAUGUGACAGACAAGAACCAACGAUAACCGCUGAAUAACAAGCUCCUUAUAAUUUGGGAAUGGCACUUCAAAAAUCGAACGUGGCGGUGUUGAACAUCUUUGAAGUCGCCAACCAUAUCCUUCUUUCGUUUGUUAAAGUAAGUUUUACAAGAGUUCACCCUUUUUGGUUUCAUAGAAAAAAUAUUCAGACUUAGUAUGAUUGCCACUGAGAAAACUUA